rnacentral:tRNA from 1 species
AGAAAUAUGUCUGAAAAAAGAGUUACUUUGAUAGAGUAAAUUAUAGAGGUUCAAACCCUCUUAUUUCUA